rnacentral:rRNA from 1 species
GACGAACGCUGGCGGCGUGCCUAAUACAUGCAAGUAGAACGCUGAAGGAGGAGCUUGCUUCUCUGGAUGAGUUGCGAACGGGUGAGUAACGCGUAGGUAACCUGCCUGGUAGCGGGGGAUAACUAUUGGAAACGAUAGCUAAUACCGCAUAAUAGUAGAUGUUGCAUGACAUUUGCUUAAAAGGUGCAAUUGCAUCACUACCAGAUGGACCUGCGUUGUAUUAGCUAGUUGGUGGGGUAACGGCUCACCAAGGCGACGAUACAUAGCCGACCUGAGAGGGGGAUCGGCCACACUGGGACUGAGACACGGCCCAGACUCCUACGGGAGGCAGCAGUAGGGAAUCUUCGGCAAGGGACGGAAGUCUGACCGAGAAACGCCGCGUGAGUGAAGAAGGUUUUCGGAUCGUAAAGCUCUGUUGUAAGAGAAGAACGAGUGUGAGAGUGGAAAGUUCACACUGUGACGGUAUCUUACCAGAAAGGGACGGCUAACUACGUG